ACUGUCCCUAGAGGCAUUGCAGGUGUGACCGCUGUGUCACAUGUGCGUCUGCAGGUAGCAGAGAGGAGAGGCUGUCUAUGCUCAGCGUCCUGACCUGGGAAUAUCUGAACAAUUAGUAAUCUAACACU